rnacentral:rRNA from 1 species
CCAGACUCCUACGGGAGGCAGCAGUGAGGAAUAUUGGUCAAUGGGAGAGGUCCUGAACCAGCCAAGCCGCGUGAGGGAAGACGGCCCUAUGGGUUGUAAACCUCUUUUGUCGGAGAACAAAACCCGGGACGUGUCCCGGACUGCGUGUAUCCGAAGAAAAAGCAUCGGCUAACUCCGUGCCAGCAGCCGCGGUAAUACGGAGGAUGCGAGCGUUAUCCGGAUUUAUUGGGUUUAAAGGGUGCGUAGGCGGUCCGUUAAGUCAGCGGUAAAAUUGGGGGGCCCAAUCCCGUCGAGCCGUUGAAACUGGCAGACUUGAGUUGGCGAGAAGUACGCGGAAUGCGCGGUGUAGCGGUGAAAUGCAUAGAUAUCGCGCAGAACUCCGAUUGCGAAGGCAGCGUACCGGCGCCCAACUGACGCUGAAGCACGAAGGCGUGGGUAUCGAACAGGAUUAGAUACCCUCGUA